rnacentral:rRNA from 1 species
GACGAACGCUGGCGGCGUGCUUAACACAUGCACGUCGAACGGAGUGGCGAACGGGUGAGUAACACGUGGGUGAUCUGCCUUGCACUUCGGGCUAAGCUUGGGAAACUGGGUCUACUACCGGAUCGUGCAGGAUGAGCUCGCGUCCUAUCAGCUUGUUGGUGGGGUAAUGGCCUACCAAGGCGUCGACGGGUAGCCGGACUGAGAGGGUGUACGGCCACAGUGGGACUGAGAUGCGGCCCAGACUCAUACGGGAGGCAGCAGUGGGGAAUAUUGCACAAUGGGCGGAAGGCUGAUGCAGCGACGCCGCGUGGGGGAUGAAGGCCAUCGGGUUGUAAACUCCUUUCGACAGGGACGCGGUACCUGUAUAAGAAGCACCGGCUAACUACGUGCCAGCAGCCGCGGUAAUUC